rnacentral:lncRNA from 1 species
CAAAUGCUAAUGGAGAGCAAGUCAGACCAGAGAUCUGGAAAAGGUCUGACCCAAGACUGGAAGCUCUAUUUAACCUUGAGGAGGGGAUUGAACCGUCUCUGUGUCUUGCUUUGAGCGCUGCUGUUGGGUGCUGUGAGUGGACCUCAAGUAAGCUCCGUUUUUGAAACAUGGUAAGCGCAUGGUUACUGUCUAUAAUGGGUAGGGGCAGGUGGCUGAGCAGUGGGAGCUGAGGUGGUGUGUCCUCUCUGGGGCUGUAUGGGAAGCCUCAGCCAGAUGUAACCAGAUGUGGCCAAUUGUGCGGUCCUUUGUGAUGCUCCUCACUUGCUAAAACAGGCGGUGAACUCUGAAUAACAUCAGUAUCAGGGCUGAAUCAGCUCAAAACAUUAGGAUUAGGGGCUUGCUUGUAGAAAUUUCACGGGCAGGAUGCCAAACUUGGAGAGCCCUAGUUUCUCUUGAAUCUUCUAUAAGUUUUGCCCCCAGCAUUUACCUAUUAAGUAUAAGAUCCAUUUGUAGUUAAUUUUGUGGAGCUGUUAAAAGGCAUCUCAUGUGUUGGGUAGCACUCCCAUACUAAGCUGAGAUGUAGAAGAGUAGAAUUGAUGAUUUAAAUGGUUUACCAAGCUUAAGAAAUAGUGACAGUAAGUAGCAUUUAGCUGAUGGAGGACUGUGUCAAAAACACCCCACAGGUUAGUAUGCUAAGCAGGCCGGUUAGAGACUAGGAUGCUAGGAUUCACAUGUUUGCUCCCCAGGUUUGUCUACACAGCUGGCUCCAAACUAUAACAAAGGAGAGACAACUGUGAUGUACAACCAGCCACUUGGCACAUGCUCAAAGCAAAAAGCAGGUCUGUAACAAGCUGCUCAAUCCAUCAUUACAGAGUCACAACCAACAUUAAUGCCUGGUGUGCCUAAAGCUCCCGUUUUCUAAUUGAGAAAAGCAUAGUUCUGCCACAUGGAAAAAUUACACUGGUUGACAUCCAUUUGAGAAGGAAAAACACCUAUGUGCUUGCAGACAGGAGCUGAGCAUGGCUGUCCUCUGAGAGGCUCUACCAGUAACUGAGACAGAUGCAGAUACUUACAGCCAACCAAUGGACUCCAGUCAGGGACCCUAUGGAAGAGUUAGGGGAAGGAUUGAAGGAGCUGUAUGGUAUACCAGUCCCUUAAGAAGACCAAUAGUAUCAUGUAACCUAGACCCCUGGGAGCUCACAGAGACGAAGCCAUCAACCAAAGAGAAUACAUGGGCUGGUCCAUGGUCCCAGGAACAUAUGUAGCAGAGGACUGCAUUGUCUGUACCGAAUAGGAGACUAUACACCUAAUCUUGUAGACUUGAUUCCCCCGGGAAGAAGAAUGAGGAAGGUGAGGAGUGGGUGAGAGGAGUGGAGAUGGGGUGAUGGGGCAAGGUCUCAAAGGCAAAGGGAAGGGGGAGGAGGGUAAAGAACCUUGGGAGGGAACCAGAUCAUGGGCCACAGUUAGAAUGUAAAUAAAUAAACAGAGAGAGAUGGAGAGACUGAGACUGUUGUAUGGAGGGCUACCCUUAUCAAGUAAUCUUUCCCUAAAGUUCUCAUGUAUAAAGAGUGAUAUAACUCCUUCUCAAACCCAGGAACAUAUUUGCAGAGCCAAUAAUGGACUGGAGCCUAGGCCUUGGGAGCUUUUUUUGUGGCUACAAUGUAUUGAGAAUUAAAUAGAUCUCCCUUUCUAAAGCUUGGAAAGUCCUUGGGCGAGAUGGUAAUUUCC